GAUGAAGAACGUAGCGAAAUGCGAUAAGUAGUGUGAAUUGCAGAAUUCAGUGAAUCAUCGAAUCUUUGAACGCGCAUUGCGCCCCUUGGUAUUCCAUGGGGCAUGCCUGUUCGAGCGUCAUUUGUACCUUCAAGCUUUGCUUGGUGUUGGGUGUUUGUCUCGCCUCUGCGUGUAGACUCGCCUUAAAACAAUUGGCAGCCGGCGUAUUGAUUUCGGAGCGCAGUACAUCUCGCGCUUUGCACUCAUAACGACGACGUCCAAAAGUACAUUUUUACACUCUUGACCUCGGAUCAGGUAGGGAUACCCGCUGAACUUAAGCAUAUCAAUAAGCGGAGGA
rnacentral:misc_RNA from 1 species